UCCUUAAUACUCAGAUGGUAAAGAGUCUGCCUGCAAUGCAGGAGACCCAGGUUCAAUCCCUGGGUCAGGAA
rnacentral:tRNA from 1 species